AACCUUAUCUCACUCCAUUUUCUUGUAUAAAUAGGAACCACUGCUCCUCAUAAUCUUAAUCCAAGCUCAAAGUUCAGGAAACCAACACCUUCAAGAUGCAAACAGCUUUAACCUUUGCUGUCCCCAACGUUGUGCCUUUGGCACCCACAAAGACUGUCACCCAUCUCACCAACUUCCCUACCAAAUUGAAAACCCCACGCCCCUCCCCUCGUUACUCUCCAAUAAGGGUUGCAACUGUGGAUCCCGACACUUCAACAGUGGACUACAACUCGGCCUUCUCAGUGUUUCCAGCAGAAGCAUGCGAAACUGUAGGAGGGGAAGCCUGCAUGGCAGAGAUGUACCCUGAAGCCAAGCUGCAGCCACAAGCUAAGAACGACACACCACGAACAGCUACAGAGAACGUUGAGAGAGAGUAUCUUGAAUACAAUGAUCCUCAAACGUAAGAUCUCUCAUCAACCAAAAAGACACCCUUUUACAAAUACCAAAUCAAUUGAGAUCAAUUUUCACACACUUUUGUUAUAAAGAUUUAUACACGCAGGAUGAUGGAUCUAUGCAAUUCAGAACAGUGGAAAAGCAUUAUGAUUUUGUGGAUGUGUUUUGCAGGGUAUUUCGGGGAGAGGCUUGUGAUGAUCUUGGAGGAACUUUCUGUGAGCCCGAGUUUCAGAAGAAUGUGUAUUAGACCAAA